rnacentral:rRNA from 1 species
UACGUAGGGUGCAAGCGUUAAUCGGAAUUACUGGGCGUAAAGCGUGCGCAGGCGGUUCGUCGUGUCUGAUGUGAAAGCCCCGGGCUCAACCUGGGAAUGGCAUUGGAAACUGGCGGACUAGAGUGUGGCAGAGGGGGGUGGAAUUCCGCGUGUAGCAGUGAAAUGCGUAGAGAUGCGGAGGAACACCGAUGGCGAAGGCAGCCCCCUGGGCUAACACUGACGCUCAGGCACGAAAGCGUGGGGAGCGAACAGG